rnacentral:misc_RNA from 1 species
UAUUUUUAACCGACUUCCAAAAAAGGAGGAGGUUCUCAAUUCGACUGUUUUUUUUUUUUUUUUUUUUUUUUUUUUUUUUUUUUUUUUUUAUUAUAAAUCAGAUUGCUUUAAUUUUAGUUUUAUACAAAUCGAAUACUACUUAGUCAAUUUAACGAAUAAAUGUAUUACCCGUCGAGUAUUUAAUAUCUUUACAAAUUUACCUUUGUAAUUUUAUUAUGACGACUAUUAUAAAAAACCUCCAUAGGGGCUUUCAUUUAAAAACUUACAUUACAUUCGGUAGUAUUUUUAUAUUACCUGCAGUCAUAUAUUUUUAAUUACUUUUAAUUAAUUAUUUUCAACUAUGGAUAAGCCACAGGAACACAAUGUGGAGUAUUAUGUGAAGGCAUAGAAAAAUAAAUUAUAAAAUGUAUAAUCGUGAUUGUGAUUUUAAUCUGUUUGUGUGAUCAUCCAUUUUAAUAAUCACGUACGCAAAAUCAAAUACUGAUCAGUAAACACUUAAUUUAAAAUUCAAAAUAACGU